rnacentral:lncRNA from 1 species
CAAAGCUUUGGUAUUGAUAAUAAUGGGAAACUUCAAGUAAGUUUUAGAAAUCUGUUUGUAUUAAGAUGUGCUGUGGCAUUUCCACAACACAAGAACAAAUUUACUGGGGCACAUUGUUCUUCUUUGAACUUGAUGAGAAUUUUUGUAAAUAGUUUUACAUUCCUAACAAAUAAUUACCCUGAACACUCUAUAAGCCAAAUCCCUUGUUUGGAGUAUUUUUGUGUAUUUUUUUUAUGUGUGGUAUAGCUGUAUAUAUGACAUACACACUCACCACCACUGCCUCCUUUUUUUGUUUCUUUGAUUAUGUGGAGUUUUGCAAUCAAACUAAGCAGUUUUAGGACCCUUGGGGCAGCAUCUUUUAGUUCCCCGUCAGGCUACGUUGCAAAACAAUCAAUCUUGCUCUCACACUCACUUGGCGGAAGUGCCACGACACGAGCAGCGCAGUGCUUUGCUCUUGCCAUGAAGCCUGGGUGACAAAAGUUUUUACAAGAAGCUGACUGUAUUUGGGGUUAUGAAUAUGCAAUGACUCUCAUUAGUAUUGAAGAGCCAAAGCAAGGGCUGACAUCCCUCGCCACUUUGAGUUGCUGUAGAAUCGGCUAAUGAAUUGUCUUGCUCGCUCACUCACAGGGUCUGCUGUUGUGGCUCCUAAGUUCCAAGGGGAGUUGCCCAUUUUGAGACUACCAUUGACUGCAGAAAUUAAUUGUCAAGAACGACUCUUGAUUCUGUGAAACAAUGUUUAGGCAGUGCUUAGUUUGUCAAAACAGAAAAGCACUAAACUUUGCAUAAGAUAAUAUCAUGAAUAGGAAAAUUUAGAAAGAGGCACAAGAAUGCAUGUAUGUACUAUAUUCAUCACUGUGUAUAGAUAUGCUUCCAUCCUGGAUCAUUGUACAGUAUGUGUUUCUAUAUAUAGAUGAAAUCAAGUCAUAGAAACCUGAAAUAUCCUUCCAAAUGGAACAAACAGAGAUGAUAGAAAAU